rnacentral:rRNA from 1 species
UACGGGGGGGGCAAGCGUUGUUCGGAAUUACUGGGCGUAAAGGGCGUGUAGGCGGCUUUGCAAGUCGGGUGUGAAAGCCCUCAGCUCAACUGAGGAAGUGCGCCCGAAACUGCAGAGCUUGAGUGCCGGAGAGGGUGGCGGAAUUCCCCAAGUAGAGGUGAAAUUCGUAGAUAUGGGGAGGAACACCGGUGGCGAAGGCGGCCACCCUGGACGGUAACUGACGCUGAGACGCGAAAGCGUGGGGAGCAAACAGG